rnacentral:rRNA from 1 species
GACGAACGCUGGCGGCGUGCUUAACACAUGCAAGUCGAACGGUGAAAGAAGAGCUUGCUCUUCUGGAUCAGUGGCGAACGGGUGAGUAACACGUGAGUAACCUGCCCCAGACUCUGGAAUAAGCGCUGGAAACGGCGUCUAAUACCGGAUACGAGACUGAGCUGCAUGGCUACUGUCUGGAAAGUUUUUCGGUCUGGGAUGGACUCGCGGCCUAUCAGCUUGUUGGUGAGGUAACGGCUCACCAAGGCAACGACGGGUAGCCGGCCUGAGAGGGCGACCGGCCACACUGGGACUGAGACACGGCCCAGACUCCUACGGGAGGCAGCAGUGGGGAAUAUUGCACAAUGGGCGAAAGCCUGAUGCAGCGACGCCGCGUGAGGGAUGACGGCCUUCGGGUUGUAAACCUCUUUCAGCAGGGAAGAAGCGAAAGUGACGGUACCUGCAGAAGAAGCACCGGCUAACUACGUG